UACGGGGGGGGGCAAGCGUUGUUCGGAAUUACUGGGCGUAAAGGGGAUGUAGGCGGCCAACUAAGUCCGACGUGAAAUCCCAAGGCUUAACCUUGGAACUGCGUCGGAUACUGGAUGGCUUGAAUUCGGGAGAGGGAUGCAGAAUUCCAGGUGUAGCGGUGAAAUGCGUAGAUAUCUGGAGGAAUACCGGUGGCGAAGGCGGCAUCCUGGACCGACAUUGACGCUGAAAGCCGAAAGCUAGGGGAGCGAAACGGG
rnacentral:rRNA from 1 species